AAGCAGAGUUCUGUUGCAAU
rnacentral:snRNA from 1 species